CUGCUGGGCCGGACGGUCGCUGCCGGCCUGCGAACGCUGGCGACAGCCAGGCUGCGCAGGCGGGGAGAGGAAAGUCCGAACUCUACAGAGCGGUGUGCCGGAUAACGUCCGGGCGGUGGCGUUCAAGCGCCAUUGACGGAAAGUGCCACAGAAAAUACACCGCCCCGCCCAAUUUACUCAUUGCGGCGUGAGCCGCCGCAAUGGCGCACAAGCGUUGUUCAGGUCCCAUGGUCGCAAUGGGCUAAUUGGGCGGGGUAAGGGUGAAAUGGUGCGGUAAGAGCGCACCGCGCUGCCAGUAAUGGCGGUGGCAGGGAAAACCCCACACGGAGCAAGACCAAAUAGGGGAGGAUCCCGCCGGUUCUCCCGAUUCACACCCAGUGGCGUGAAUGGAGAGAACCGGCGGGAACGUGCCGGCUCGGUGCGUCACAACUUCCGGGUAGGUCGCUAGAGGCGAGCAGUAAUGCGCGUCCCAGAGGAAUGACCGUCCUCGCCCCUUCUUUUCCGCCAAUGCAUUUCUGCAACGCGCGGACAGGAAGGGGCGGGACAGAAUUCGGCUUACAGGCCCGGCAGCUAU
rnacentral:RNase_P_RNA from 1 species